UGCAAGUCGAGCGCGCCUUUCGGGGUGAGCGGCGGACGGGUUAGUAACGCGUGGGAAUAUACCCUUUGGUACGGAAUAGCCUCUGGAAACGGAGAGUAAUACCGUAUGUGCCCUUCGGGGGAAAGAUUUAUCGCCAAGGGAUUAGCCCGCGUUAGAUUAGGUAGUUGGUGGGGUAAUGGCCUACCAAGCCUACGAUCUAUAGCUGGUUUUAGAGGAUGAUCAGCAACACUGGGACUGAGACACGGCCCAGACUCCUACGGGAGGCAGCAGUGGGGAAUCUUGGACAAUGGGCGCAAGCCUGAUCCAGCCAUGCCGCGUGAGUGAUGAAGGCCUUAGGGUCGUAAAGCUCUUUCGCCUGUGAAGAUAAUGACGGUAGCAGGUAAAGAAACCCCGGCUAACUCCGUGCCAGCAGCCGCGGUAAUACGGAGGGGGUUAGCGUUGUUCGGAAUUACUGGGCGUAAAGCGCACGUAGGCGGACUGGAAAGUUGGGGGUGAAAUCCCAGGGCUCAACCCUGGAACUGCCUCCAAAACUAUCAGUCUAGAGUUCGAGAGAGGUGAGUGGAAUUCCGAGUGUAGAGGUGAAAUUCGUAGAUAUUCGGAGGAACACCAGUGGCGAAGGCGGCUCACUGGCUCGAUACUGACGCUGAGGUGCGAAAGUGUGGGGAGCAAACAGGAUUAGAUACCCUGGUAGUCCACACCG
rnacentral:rRNA from 1 species